UCGUGUUUCCAAACUACUUUCCUUUAGACAAAUAGAACAAUAAUAAACUAAUAUAUGUCCAUUGAUUUAGAAGAAAUAACUUGAUCCUCAAUUUCAUUUUGCAGGCUAGAAUAGUAGGUGGGACAGGCACUGAUGGGACACCUAUUAUUGCAGGGAUUGCAAAGUUCAUGGAAUUAUGUUGUUCAGGAAGCUAUAAUUGUUAUCAAAGACAUCUUCAGACGCUACCCUAACACGUAUGAGUCUAUCAUUGCUACGCUUUGUGAAAGUCUGGACACUUUAGAUGAACCAGAGGCUAAGGCAUCCAUGAUUUGGAUAAUUGGAGAAUAUGCUGAAAGAAUUGACAAUGGCUAAGGAUUGUAUUAUGGUCACACAUUUUUGUUUUUUAUGAUUGGAUAUUCCAGCA